rnacentral:lncRNA from 1 species
AUGGAAAGGGCAGCCAGGCCUUGGAAGUGGCCAGGGAGGUUUGGAGUCCCCGUCCCUGGAGGUGGCAGCUGGAGGUGGCACUCAGGGCUCAGGGUGGGGACAAGGUGGGCACGGGGCACAGCUUGGAUGGGCUGAAGUCAUUUCCAGCCUCAGUGCUUGUGGGAUUUUCCUGUUCCAGGAACCUGCUGGUGAACCUGGGGCUGUUCGCCGCCGGCGUCUGGGUCGCCCGGAACCUGACGGACAUCGACCUGAUGGCCCCGCAGCCCGUCCCGUAGCAGCGGAAGGAGCCGGAGCUGCCGGGAGCAGAGCUCACCCUCCCACCAGGACUGGAGCCGUGGGGCUGCUCUGAUCCCUCCUGGAGCUGCUCUGAUCCCUCCUGGAGCUGCUCUGAUCCCACCCGGAGCUCCUGAUCCCUCCUGGAGCUGCUCUGAUCCCUCCUGGAGCUGCUCUGAUCCCACCUGGAGCUGCUCUGAUCCCUCCUGGAGCUGCUCUGAUCCCACCCGGAGCUGCUCUGAUCCCACCCGGAGCUGCUCUGAUCCCACCCGGAGCUGCUCUGAUCCCUCCUGGAGCUGCUCUAAUCCCUCCUGGAGCUGCUCUGAUCCCACCCGGAGCUGCUCUGAUCCCUCCUGGAGCUGCUCUGAUCCCUCCUGGAGCUGCUCUGAUCCCUCCUGGAGCUGCUCUGAUCCCACCCGGAGCUCCUGAUCCCACCCGGAGCUGCUCUGAUCCCACCCGGAGCUCCUGAUCCCUCCUGGAGCUGCUCUGAUCCCACCCGGAGCUGCUCUGAUCCCACCUGUCCUGCCUGGAGCAGGACAAAAGGUUUAAUAGAGGGAGAAUUUGGUUUCCCAUUGAUUCAUCCCUUCAGGAAUUGUUUCCUCGAGGAUGUACAUGGAAUUUCCUGCUGUACCCCCCACCCCCAGAUGUUUAUUAAAGUUUAUGGAAUAACAACCCACUGGGAUUUCUUCAUUUUUUCUCUUUGUUUUUUUUUUUUUUUAAUAAGAAACUUCAGCUUACAAAAACAAGGUGUAAAAAGAGUAAAGAUUUACCAAAAAAAAAAA